CCAGAAACUACCUUACUGCAUUGUCAUGCUGUUCAAAGUAGUUACCACUGUGCACUGACGACUUUCGUAGAAAAGCGUGAUUCAGUAAAACCAGGAUCUAUACGCAACGUAACUGCGUAGUGUAGAAAGUGACGGCAAGCGUGUAAAAGCGCAGAAUUGGCACUGUAUUAGUUUCGGGUUUGAGAAGUACAAAGGAUCUGUUUAAGCCGUGGCCAAGCAAGGAUGUCUAACAACAUUCCCGCUCAGUACGGGAUGGUAACUGCUGCUUAUUUCGCCUUGUUUAUGUACCGUUACAACCGAGGUCACAUAUAUACUGGUCGGAAAGCAAUCGUCAAUAUUAUGAUUCUCUUUGUGAUCGUGCAACCUUUGUGUAGAGUUGUUGGUGGUACUAACGGUCUUGUAAUGUUCUCCGCAUUGUGCAUGAGCAGCAUCAUUAUGCUCCCCACUCCUCAGGAGGAGAGGAGAGAGUGGGAGAAAGAGCAGGAGAAAAAAAACACAGCUACCGUCGCGAAAAGGAAAAAACAAAGGAACAAAGCGAAAACGUCGUAACUUGGGUAAACUGAGGUCAAAAUCUCAGGUCCCCUGGCGUGCCUCAACGAACAACCUCUUUCUUUUGCAACAGAAUCCCUCCUUUAUUCCAUACUCUGGUCACGUAACAUUGCCAUAUUUCCCGUGUUAUCAUCUAUAUCUUGUAAAGUUUCGUCUUGUGGUCUGUAGUUCUUACACGCCCAACAACACUCCUGUGUUACGUAUUACCAAAUUAUAUCCACGCCUUAAACAAAUGCUUCACUUACCCCGACUUCACCCCAACAUACUGUACAGUACAUCAUGUGACAUUUAACGUCGUCGCAUUUAACCAACGGUGACGAUUUGGUUUCUUUCACUUCGCAGAUAAGGCACCGGGAAGAACCGAUUCCGAGAACGGCGAAUAUUUUGUCGACAGUUUCGCUUCUUAUGCGCAUAGCGGUAAGAAUCGAGUGUCGUUGCUUUAAAGUAAGAAGUGUUGGGAAAAAAUAGUUUUUUUUAUUGCGUUAUAUUGUACUUACUCUCAGUCUAAAAUUUUGGGCCAAUUUCUGCACAGUCAUCCUGACGUGGUACAGAUGGUUUUUCCUACGCCUCAUGACGUCACUGUACAGAAAAAUGAUUCGUUUUUUCUCGCGUCUUCUGUAAGCAACGGAGGCGACCACGUGGCGUAAACGUAGCGCGUAUGCGUCACCUAGCGUCGUCAGGAGAAGCACUCCGUACAUUCCGACUAUCCAGUAGAUGUCGCUGUUGGGUAAUUGUCUGGCGACAGGCAGACAGCCUGAAAUUAUAAUUGUCAGUAUAUUCUGUAUAAGAUAAAUAAAAUCAAACUCACUC